GAAACGUCCUGAGCCUUGCAGUUUCCCAACGCCUGCUGGGUAGCCACCUCUCUCAUGAACCUGGCAUUUUGGAGGUCAAGUUGCUGGUGGCCAGUUUGGUCGCCUUCCUAGCCAGAGAAGCCAGGAUGGCAGUGACAAAGCCAAAAGCAGGUUUGUUCUUAUUUUAAAGUGGGGAAUGGCUUCAAUGAUUCAUGCACGCUGGUAUUUAGAAUCCACAAGUUUUGCUGGCUAUGUUCUAUUAGAAUGUUUGUGGAAAACAUAAAAGGUUAGUACAGUUUGUGCAAGAACAGCAUGCAGGAUCAGGCCAGUGGUCUAUCCAGUCCAGUAUCCUCUUUGGAACCAGAGUGGGAAUCCCUAAAGAUGGUGGGAUUAUCUAGUGGGGUGAUAUCAAGCCGGGGCAGGGAGGGGAGUGGGGCUCUGGAGGUGUAAAUAACUACUUCUUCUUCUUCUCCUUCUCCUUCUUCUUCUUUGGCGGGCGAUUCCUCAUAACUGAGUAAGAUUGUCUUCCCUAAACAAGGUUUUAACAGUGAGUCCAUAAGCGACAGUGGAGACCAUUUCUGGAUCCACACAUCCUUCCACAGUGGGGACAUAGGUUUCCGAGCAGGAGUUGAUCACAGUGUGGAUUUGCCAAGUGUGCCUUCCUCUUAGUGCGUUUCUCCCUUGCGUCCUGAGUUCGAGCGUCUUCAAAACCCAUGACACCUUUGGUAAAAGCUGUUCUCCAAUUGGAGCACUCGCAGGCCAGUGUUUCCCCGUUGUCGGUGUUUAUACUACAUUUUUUUAGAUUUGCUUUGAGAGAGUCUUUGAACCUCUUUUGUUGACCACCAGCAUUACGCUUUCCAUUCUUAAGGUUGGAAUAGAGUAGUUGCUUUGGAAGAUGAUCAUCAGGCAUCCGCACAACAUGACCAGUCCAACGAAGUGGAUGUUGAAGAAUCAAUGCUUCAACACUGGUGAUCUUGGCUACUUCCAGUACACUGGUAUUAGUUUGCCUGUCUUCCCAGGUGAUGUUUAAAAUUUUCCGGAGACGCC